GUGGUUAGUUACCUAUGAACAAGGUGGUGUGGUUAGUUACCUAUGAAUAAGGUAGUGGUGGUGUGGUUAGUUACCUAUGAACAAGGUAGUGGUGGUGUGGUUAGUUACCUAUGAAUAAGGUAGUGGUGGUGUGGUUAGUUACCUACGAACAAGGUAGUGGUGGUGUGGUUAGUUACCUAUGAACAAGGUAGUGGUGGUGUGGUUAGUUACCUAUGAAUAAGGUAGUGGUGGUGUGGUUAGUUACCUAUGAAUAAGGUAGUGGUGGUGUGGUUAGUUACCUAUGAACAAGGUGGUGUGGUUAGUUACCUAUGAAUAAGGUAGUGGUGGUGUGGUUAGUUACCUAUGAACAAGGUAGUGGUGGUGUGAUUAGUUACCUAUUAGAAGGUGGUAGUGUGGUUAGUUACCUCUGAAUAAGGUAGUGGUGGUGUGGUUAGUAACCUAUGAACAAUAUAGUGGUGGUGUGGUUAGUUACCUAUGAAGAAGGUAGUGGUGGUGUGAUUAGUUACCUAUUAGAAGGUGGUGGUGUGGUUAGUUACCUAUGAAUAAGGUGGUGGUGGUGUGGAUAGUUACCUACGAACAAGGCGGUGGCGGUGUGGUUAGUUAGCUAUGAACAAGGUAGUGGUGGUGUGGUUAGUUACCUAUGAAGAAGGUAGUGGUGGUGUGAUUAGUUACCUAUUAACAAGGUGGUGGUGUGGUUUGUUACCUAUGAACAAGGUAGUGGUGGUCUGGUUAGUUACCUAUGAAUAAGGCAGUGGUGGUGUGGAUAGUUACCUACGAACAAGGCAGUGGUGGUGUGGUUAGUUACCUACGAACAAGGUAGUGGUGG
rnacentral:lncRNA from 1 species